rnacentral:rRNA from 1 species
AUUGAACGCUAGCGGGAUGCUUUACACAUGCAAGUCGAACGGCAGCACGAAAAGAGCUUGCUCUUUUUGGUGGCGAGUGGCGAACGGGUGAGUAAUGUAUCGGAACGUACCCAGUAGCGGGGGAUAACUACGCGAAAGCGUGGCUAAUACCGCAUACGCCCUACGGGGGAAAGGGGGGGAUCGCAAGACCUCUCACUAUUGGAGCGGCCGAUAUCGGAUUAGCUAGUUGGUGGGGUAAAGGCCCACCAAGGCAACGAUCCGUAGCUGGUUUGAGAGGACGACCAGCCACACUGGGACUGAGACACGGCCCAGACUCCUACGGGAGGCAGCAGUGGGGAAUUUUGGACAAUGGGGGAAACCCUGAUCCAGCCAUCCCGCGUGUGCGAUGAAGGCCUUCGGGUUGUAAAGCACUUUUGGCAGGGAAGAAACGGCGCUGAAUAAUACUUGGCGCAACUGACGGUACCUGCAGAAUAAGCACCGGCUAACUACGUG